rnacentral:rRNA from 1 species
GACGAACGCUGGCGGCGUGCUUAACACAUGCAAGUCGAACGGAAAGGCCCUGCUCUUGUGGGGUGCUCGAGUGGCGAACGGGUGAGUAACACGUGAGUAACCUGCCCUUGACUUUGGGAUAACUUCAGGAAACUGGGGCUAAUACCGGAUAGGAGCUCCUGCUGCAUGGUGGGGGUUGGAAAGUUUCGGCGGUUGGGGAUGGACUCGCGGCUUAUCAGCUUGUUGGUGGGGUAGUGGCUGACCAAGGCUUUGACGGGUAGGCGGCCUGGGAGGGUGACCGGCCACAUUGGGACUGAGAUACGGCCCAGACUCCUACGUGAGGCAGCAGUGGGGAGUAUUGCACAAUGGGCGGAAGCCUGAUGCAGCAGCGCCGCGUGCGGGAUGACGGCCUUCGGGUUGUAAACCGCUUUCGCCUGUGCCGAAGCGUGAGUGACGGUAAUGGGUAAAAAAGCACCGGCUAACUACGUG